GGUUGUAUAGUGUAGUGGUUAUCACGUCGGAUUCUGAAGGCGUUCUUGUCUUCCGGAGAUCCUGGUUCGAUUCCGGGUACGACCU
rnacentral:tRNA from 1 species